GCUUACCUGGAGGACCUGCCUCCAUAACAGGCUGAGAGAGAGGACGGAGACCCUGAAAGGAGAAUAGAGACAAGGUCAUAUUAGUCCCAGGUUUUUACCUCCCAGGUAUGUUUGUGCCCCAGCUGCUUAAACAAUAUACCAUGUUAAUGCUUGCAUGGUCAGCUUCUGAGGUAACUAUAAAGGAUUUGGAGAAGGGUGGAAGUCUUGAGAUGGACUGGGCCUGGGCCACACUAGGCCAGCUGCUGAGCCACUUGAUGCAAACAGACUAAGUUCCACCGGGAGGAGCCCCUGCUCACCUCUCGACGCCAGGCAGGCCUGCCAGCAGGUCUGUGUUGGGCACCUGUGGACGCACUUUGCAACAGCUGUAGCUGUGACUGGAGUCUGAGGGAGAAAGGAGGCUGCUGAAGCAGCUGUCUUCCAGGUUGCGAAUUCGAGCCUGAGCCUGUCCCUCAGGCGACUGCGGGUCCUUGGAGGCGGGAUCCUCCGGCCGCUCUGGCCCUUCAGCUGCCCCAUCCAUGAGCCAACGUUCUCGGAGAGAUUUCCUCUGGGUAUGGGACGAGAGUCUGGGACUGCACAGGAAGCCUACCUCCCCUCCCAUUGCUUCCACCACCCAUAGUGCGCAUCCAUCAGAAUGGGAGACAUGUCCAUAUCUCGUCUCCCAACACCAUGCCAGCAUACAGCCUUCCCAGGCAGAGGCAUACAACCAUUAUCCUUUCAGCCUGCCCAGUCGACUGGCUCUGCCAGGCCCAGAAAGACCUCUCAAUGCACCCCUCUCCACCUCAACGUUGGCCUAAGGUUCC